UCGAAAACUGAUUGUUCCUUCUGGUAUCUUCACGCGCCUGUGAUCACUUGUUGUAAUGGCAACCGAUGAGGGCAGAGAGAAUUCUUCGUGCUGCUUGGCGAGUGACACUGUGCGUCUUUUCUUUUCGAUUGGAAUUUUUCAAUUGAGGGCUUCGGAAUAAUUGGAUCUGAUAUUAUUAAGACAAAGGGAAGAGAACAAAUCGCAAUGAUAUGGAAAUUUGUAGGAUUGUUGGUUGCCAUGGUAACGAUGGGCGCCAUCUUGGCUGAAACCUCCUACCACAAGAUAGAUGACAAAAUAGACAAAUAUAUGUAUGGAUUCCCGUCUUUCUGCUCCUGGGACCAAAUGUGCAAGUCCGCCUACAAGAAUUAUUUCGAAUGUAAGUGUCCUUCAUACAGACCUUUCUGCACUAGCCAGGGAACGUAUUACGAUGCCAUGUGCGCCCCGAGGUAUGCUCUUAGCUGGAUGAUCUGGCUGCAGCCGCACCAGGGCACGGCGGAUCUGGAGUGAGUUGUAUUUGGGCGAUCGCCGCGUUGACAUCUUGCUUUGACUUGGUCAAUAGCGCAAGGGAAUGUUGGUGAUCGUCGCGAGGACUGCUUCGCUCGACUUGGUCAAUAGCGUGAGAGGAAGAACAGGGAGAUACCUGUAAAUCGACAUGUUUCGUAUUCUUAGUAACAGCUUGGAUAAUGGGAUGGAAAUGUUCGCGUUUCGUUGAGUGUUUUUCUGACAGAGCAGCAUGGUCAACGGGUUAUGCAUUUGCCUGAAAGAUCUCCAAGCCGGGUACAAAAUUGUGUUUAAGGGAACAGACUCCCACCCUUCAAGUUGGCAUUCACCUCAUUUUGAAGAAGUUCUAAUUGCUUUAGGAUAUCAAGUUGUAGCCAAAACUGCGGUACCUACAUGUAUGAUGGUCAACCCUUUAAAUACCCUUUAAGGCUUUUGAGAAGUGUAUGUGCUCUAAAUCUCUGACAGUCAUUACAUGGCCUCUUUGUAGACCAAAUACCAUACUCCGUUGUAAUUCAACAGGACCGGACACUUUUUCCCGCAGGACAUUUCUACUUUUACAACGGAACGUGGCCGGAUAUGAAAGUUCUCUCGAACUCAAAAUGUACAACAUUUGACAUGAAUCAGUCCAUACGUCCAUUACUGUGCGAUCUUGCAGAAUCAGACGGAAAAUAAUAAUUUGUGUAUAGAAAUAAUUUAUUCCUUGAGUUGUUAGAGAAGGUUUAUUUCGAUUUAAUAUGUUCCGGAUUUUAUAGUCUUUACUCAUUAUCAGUUAAAACGUCGCCAAGUUGACGUGCGUAGUCAACGGUUUUAACGCUUUGGACUACCAUUUAUAUACAUGUAGUCCGUACACAUGAAAUUCGGGUAUAACGGGGAUAGCUUGAUCGAGCGGUGUGUCGGUGCAACACCUUUGUUUGUUCCCCAUAUGCCAGUGUUUCCGUACAACAUACAGCUAUAGAGAUCGCAAGACAUUUCAAUGGGGAUGACAAACACAGAUAACCGUGUCACCGAUGACACCCAAAGAUGUUGCACCGGUACCGGACGAAAUAUAUCUAAAAUGUGCGGCAUUUCAUACACCCAAUACUUCCCAAAUCUCGCUGAAUCUUGCUGAUUUUCACCUUUGCUUUUCACCAAUUAACAGAUUAACAGAGCCAAUUGAGAAAUAAUAGUUGAAAUCAACUAGGAAUAGCUUUUUGCCCAGUCUGUGACUUUGAUACUGUGUUUUGAACAAGCUGGUUCACUCGGCAGGUCAAACUCUUUGCGUAAUAAUGACGUCAUGCCACGUAUGACGUAGUGCAAGUGCAUCCCCUCCGUCAUGACGUCAUUUCCAGGAACGUUCCCAGCAUCCGUUGUAGUUCAUAGCAACACCAGCGAUGGAGACGGGAAACAAAACCAAAACUCCUGUGGGUUAUAAUCAAGAUAUUCGCAAAGCAAGCGACGUUUCACGACAAAAGGCCAGGAAAGGUAACAUCUAAACACUGCAAGUUCAUUUUUGUAUUAAACUACCGCCUUUUUCUAGUAUUUUAGCACGCAUCCAGCUCGCCGAGAGUCAAACAGGCCUUCCAAUUCGUCGAGCUGGCCUGCCCUGAAAAAGGAUAAUUUUAUUCAGUAUAUAAUGUUGGAAAAACUGUGUUGUUGGAGCUUUCAGCAAUUCACGUUUUCUUCAUCUGGUAAUAAGUUUCGUUGAGUAUCAUUUACAUAAACGUAAAGUAAAAAAUAUAUCGCCGGUUUUUGUCCUGGAUAAUGAACACCAUCGGCGAAGGGCUUUGAAAUUACGUCUUAACAUAUUAAAGUUUCGGCGUGCUGGCUUUGAUAUCCUAUUUGCAGUUUUCACUCAAAAUUUGGCUAUUUUUUCGAGGACUCGUCUUCACCAAAGAGAAAGUCUGGGUAUAUUUAAGAGCUUUUACCUCAUCUAAGUCAAGUUUUGUUGGCCAUCGCCCCUUUCCGGUAUUGGGCCAGGUGCAUAUUGGCUUGGUAAUUUUAAUCAAAACCCACCUUGGCGACAGUUUUAGCUUCAUGGAACAUUCACCCCGUACUUCGAAUGUUGUGGCUUUUUGUAAGGCUUGCGAAACCUGUCAAUUAUUCAGGUUCUUAUUUGUGCGAUGGUGCAUUACCUCAACAGAUAAAAAUGGUGUGACCAGAUCUUUCAAGGCAGAUGUGACUUAUUUUGCAGACGUUUUAUAAAGGAAACAAAAUUUGA